CGCUGGCACACCGACGUGCUCCUCGAGGCCGGCCGCCUGGCCGCCCACUACCUGGUCGCGCAGGGCGUCCUCCCCGAGCACGUUCUCCACGCCCGGGAAGACCCCAGCCCCAAGCAGCACCACGUUCUCCACGCUAGAGACGACCCCAAGCUCGGCGGAACUCGUGCGAUCUGUGAAGUGACUGAGAUUCCCGGUGAUCCUCCUGGAGAACAUGCUUGUGAUUCUCUGCCUGAUUUAGUUGGUCAGAUGAGCCAACAAGCAUAUUAUGAUCCUCCAGAUAACCAAGUUCAAGAUAAACAUGCAGAUGAAAACCAACAUUUGGAGGAUGAUCAGGUACUUCUAAAUCAGGGUAUUCGCAUGCAUGAUUUAGAUAAGAACUACCAGAACAGCGAGCACAUGCUUGUAAAUCAGAGAGCCAAUGAGCAUGGACAUGGUGAUCAACAACCUGAGAGCGAGCAAAUGCUUUUAAACAAUGAGGAAGCAAUGCUAAAGCAAGAUGCCGAGGAGCAGGUGGAGAAUGAGCAGUUGCUACCUCAUCCUGCUACAGACGUUAAUCACCGGAUUAAGGAGGAGCAAAUGCUUCUAGAUGAUGUUACAGUUGUGCAUGACUUGGAUCAUUGUGAUCUGAAUAGAUCUGACGGUGUUUGUUGUUUUUGUUGAUAUAGGCCAAGGCAAAUGACUACCGUUCUAGGAUCUGGUUGCUUCUUCCUUUCAGUGGUUCCUGAAUUGCUGCAUUUUCACAUGUCUUGGCUAAUUUUCCCUUGAUCAUCAGUUGAACUUCUUCAAGCGUUUCCUUGGGAGAGGCUUCCUGAAGCAUGUGCAGGACAAUGGACUUCUUCAAGAUAUCUUCAACAUCAAGGCUGACAAGGCUGAAACGCUUUCAUCGAAUGACAAGAAAAUCUUUAGAUCUGGAGAAGAGAAAGGAAGAGCUCUGAAGCUGAACAAGGAUCGUCGUUUGGCACAGGAGAGGAAGAACGCUGCUUUGUUUGACGAGUAACAAGAAAGGAAACAAAACAAAACCUCAUCGACCCGACAGUUUACUCUGUUUGAGCUGGAAUUUAUUUAUUUAUAUCUGUGUAAACAACCACAGGCAGAAUGUCCUUAGAGCUUGCUCCUUCCUUGACUUGUUGUCUAAUUAUGAUGGCUUGUUGUACUUGAGAAAUACUACUACUUGGCCGAAAUGAUCACUGUUGGUGUUAUAAUGUCCCAUGUGCGUUUACUUGUGAA